GAUAGUGGUCACGGUGUCCAAGACAAUGCACAUGAGCAACACAAAUAAUGAUAGAAAUGAGUAGAGUGUGUUUUUCCAUAUAACUUCAUUCAAAACAAAUAAUAAAUAGCACAUAGGUAAUCAUAGCGCAUACCAUCAAAAUAUACAGCCAUUAAUAUUGUGUAACCGUUUUCUCCGGCUAACAAAAUCACUUUGAUAUUAUUUUAAAAGCUACAUCCUUUUGAUCGAUGGAUGUGUACAAUUGAAAACCUUGACAAUUGAAAUAUAAAAUUAAGUUGUUAAAUUUUGAUCUACCGAUAUUUUUUUGAUUUUUUUAUAAUCAAACUACAUGGUCAUGUGCAAUUUUCUUUUUUGAGAAGCACCAUGUGCAAAUUAGUACUCUAGCAAUCCAACCACGUAAUUUGAAUUGACCUCGUACACUUAGAAUUUUUUAAGCAAACCCCAUACAUUUGGAUUUUUUUUAGAUAAACCGUACACUUGGAUGUGUUACCACGGGCCAGCUACUUGGGCCUGACUAACCUCGCAGGAAGCCGAGCUAACACCUAUGGCUCAGCCGCCCCACCGCUUGGGUAUGGCAGCGCACACGCCUUAUCCCCUGGUUCCCCACCGCUGAAAUCGUAUCCUCUCGUCUCGAUUCUUCCUCUCCCUCUCACUUUUCUCAUCUUCAUUCGCGCAAGGUGCGGGCUUUGCAAGGCUGCUCUCCAAGGGGCAGGCGACAGCCACUGGUGACACCGUGUGUCACAACACACGCAUUUUCAACUUGUACAUUGGGAAGUCACCAUGGAACAACCCCGCUGCCUUGGAGCUCGCCCCGCCUCCGGCCGGCCACCCAUCCGUCGGCCUCGUGCUCCUCCACCUCGAUCCGUCCGCCCCACUGCUGGACCGGAGCAGCCGGGUCCGCCGCCCAGACCACCAACCAAGAGCCGCCUCUUGCCUGUCCUACGGUCGGGAGGAGGACGACCGAGAGGAGCGGCCAUUGAUCCGUCACCUGGGCCGCCUUGGAGCACGCCCUGCCUCCGGCCCGCCACCUCUCCGUCAGCCUCGCGCUCCUCCGACAUGAUCCGUCUGCCCCGCCGCUGGAUCCGCCGCCCAGACCACCAACCAAGCGUCGGCCCUUGCCUUUCAUACGAAACUAAGCUACAACAUCCAGCUACGCUAGCCCACUUAUCUGACUAUGUACAACUUACACACUAGUUAUAUCGUUCUGAAACAAGAAUAAACAAAAAAGGCAGUGAUUAGUAACUGAAAAUUCAAACUAGCAGCCUCAUUUGUACGGGUUUUAGAACAAUGUACCCUAGUUUUAUCAUUUUUUCUGCACGUCUCACAUGGUUCACAAACCCGGGCGUCCUCUUUACUCCUUUUAAGAUGUAAAAUAUCAUGAUGUUUGCACGUAAGUUAUCAGGUACGAAAUUCUAAUGUUGCCAUGCUUUUCUCACUCAAGUUUUUGGGGUAUGUUUCUCAA